GCACAUUUCCUUUAUCCUGUCCUGCCACCAAGUUUUGAUUGGCCUUUUGAUAUUUCCUUUUAUUAAAAAGCUACGAACAGAAAUUGUUGUCACAGGCUGUUGCCUUUUAUGAUUAGGUGGGUAAGUUUCAUCAUAUUUGCCAACACCAAUAUGUUACACCUAAUCAUCAAUUCCAUCCCCACCACCAGAAUCAUCACAAGAAAACUAUUUAUCUUCUUAAAGAAAAAUACAAAAAUACAUACACACCAGAAAAUGGACCAUCAAGUUAAAAUUUCAAUUCUGUAUCACUUUCAGCAAAAUUCUUUGGAUAGGUGUAUGAAGAGAUCAGGAAGAGAUGGGAAACUCAUUUCAUUGCAUUUUCAAAACCUUUUAAAGAUGUGAAGAACAAUAAUUCAAACUACGCUUCCAAGAAUCAUGGGACAAAGGCUAAAACACACAAUAACUAGAAGUCAGGGAAACUUUUCAUAGAGAAAAGCAAAGAAACAAAUAGAAUGAACAUAGAAAACCACAAUCACUUACAAAUACCACUCUUAUCUCCCAUCUGCUGAUGUAAAUGAUUCCGCGAACCCAUAUGGACAUGUGGGUAUACUGUUCUGAGUAUUAUCUAAGCUGAGGAGGAGUGAAGAAGAUGAAUAUUCCAAGUUGCUUCUAUUUUCAAAGGCUUGCCACUUCUGAAGUACUUGCGGUAAGGACAUUUCAAGAUCAAUGCCAUAUAUAUCUUCAGGAUUUUGGUUAGUUGGUUUCCAGAGCUCCACUAGAGAUGAUAACACGUUGACAGUAUGCCCCAUGUCUGGUCUUUGAGAUGGCUCUCUUGCACUGCAGUGGCCUGCCAACUCUGCAACAGUGCUGAUACUUGCAAGUGUUUCCUCAUCGAGGUCAAUCGUGGGGUCAAUGGCCUUGUGGAAGGAUUCCUUGUUGAGGUGCAACCUGCGGAACCAAGUUACAAGAUGCAUGCUCUCCUCAGGCUGGCUAUCAUCGAGAGCUUUUCUACCUGUUAUAAGCUCCAUCAAUAUCACCCCAAAACUGAAAACAUCCACUUUAGUUGUCACCCUACCAGUAACUGCAUAUUCCGGUGCCAAGUAUCCGAAAGUUCCAGCGAUUCGUGUUUCAAUUGAGCCUUUACCCUCUGGUGCAAGGCGUACAAGACCAAAAUCGGCAACCUUGGCCCUCAUAUCAUCCCCAAGAAGAAUGUUUGAGGGUUUCAAGUCCCUAUGUAUAAAACUUUGAUGUGCCAAACCAUGAAGGUAUUCAACACCCCUUGCUACAUCCAAGGCUAUAGUCAACCUCUUUGUCCACUCUAGGGGUUUCAGUCCUUCAUCUGCCCAGUUAAAAAGAUGCCUACUGAGUGUCCCUUGUGGCAUAAAUUCAUAAACAAGAAGCUUCUCAUUACCAUCCAAGCAGUACCCAAGAAGAGCAACAAGAUGCCGGUGCCUAACCUUGGUCAGCACAGCAAUCUCAGACUUAAACUCACUUAGUCCCUUCCCACUUAUGACCCCAGACUCCAUUCUCUUGACAGCAAUCUUUGUACCAUCAUGCAAUUCACCUUUGUACACCACUCCAAAACCUCCUUGACCCAAUAUAUUUUUCUCACUGAAAUUGUUUGUCACGUUCCUUAAGACUUGAAUAGAAAUGACCAUGUUCCCUGCUUCAACCAUUUGAAUAUCACCUUGCUCACUUGCAGGAAUAGUAAGUGUCUCGCUAAUUGCACCAACACUAACACUUGAACCAGCAACUGUGAUCUUUACACUCUCGUUAUCAGAUCCAGAAUGGUGAGGAUGGAUCACCAUUGCAUUUGGACUCUGCACUCUGCUAAACCGCUUUUGUUUCUUCUUAUAUAGCAAGAAACUCAACAAGCCAACAAAGAUUAUCAAAAGUAUGCCUCCAACGACACAUAACACAAUUACUCCAAUCUUAGUAGAUGAUUUCUUGCCACCAUUUCCAGAGCCACCACUGCUUCCAGAACCUGUGUUUGUUGAUGGAGCAGCUGAUGGUGAACCUGGAGAUGUAGAACUAUUAACUUCCUUCCCUAUAUCUGGAUUACCAUCAGUAUUCACCAUCACAUUACUCUUGAAAACUGGAAUUUUCCCAGAAAGAAGAUUGUUUGACACAUCAAGUUCCUUGAGUGCAGGCAGAGUAGUAAGCACCUGCGGAAUAGAACCUGUGAGAUUAUUACCAUCAAGAACCAAUCUUUGCAACGAUUUAAGUGAAACAAACUCGGGGGAAAUCGUUCCUGUAAGGCCCAUCUUCUGGAAGUUUACAACAGUAAUGUUCCCUUGAGUACAAGUAAUUCCAAUCCAAUCUGCACAAGGAUCAUUCCCCUUCCAACUCUGAGCAAACCUUUGUGGGUAACCCAUGGAUUUUACAAUCAGAAGCAACGUGUUAACACUGGAAUCGCAUUCACCAGGACUUGGCAAACAAAAACUAUUUGAAUCCUUGGUCAUAUCAACAGAGACUGAGAUCUUGAACACAGGCAUAGGCCCUUGAAAGAAAUUAUUUGUCAAAUUCACUACAUUCAAAGACUCAAGAUUCACCAAAGACAAAGGAACAGGACCCGUGAAUGAAUUAUCCCUUAUACUCAAGAGCUGCAAAUCUUUCAAACCCGAAAAAUCUGGUAAAGGACCCGUAAACCCAUUAGAAUGCAACCAAACAUCCUUCAACAAAGUCAUGUUCUGUAUAACAUCAAUUCUACCAGUAAGCUUGCCUUCACUCUUCUGCCCAUUGAGCCACAAAGACAGGAUCUGUGACCCAGCAAAGCUCGCAGGCAACUCACCUUCAAGCUCAUUGAAGGCCAAAUGCAGAAUGGUUAGGCCCGGAAAAGCAUCUGGACCAAAAAAAUUGGGUAUUGACCCAGAGAUGUUUGCCGAAUUUGCGGAGAAAUUCUGCAAAGUAGAAGAGUUUUUAAUACUUUCAGGGAUUACCCAGGAGGAAAAUGGGUUGUUAUCAAUCUCAACAGCCUUAAGAGAGGACAAACCAGUAAAGAAAUCACUAGGAAUGGAAGUAAACUGAUUCCCAGAAAGCAUUAUCACUUGUAGUGAGCUUAACCCGUUAAGACUAGGUAGAAGACCGGAAAUGUUGUUCCAUUGAAGCUCUAAGCGCUCUAGUUGAGUAAGGUUUUGAAGAUUUGAAGGGAGUGUACCUCGUAGGUUUUGUCGACCAAUUUGGAUGCGGGUGACUCGUCUAUCAUCAGAGCAGCCAACAUGGUUCCAGUUGCAGGGAUCCGGGUCAGACCAUCCAAGAGAAUCAGGUACAUUGAGGCUUUUCUUGAGGGCAAGCAUAACUGCAACAUCUUCACUAGGGGUAGCUUGAGAGUUGACAAUGAGAAAGAUUGAAGAAAAACUGGAAAGAAGAAGAAGCAAAAGCUUGCAACUGAGACAAGCUCUCUUCUCUAUCCUCAGAGAAAGAAAGAAAGCCAUGGAAGGUUCUUCAAGAGAGAGUUCUUCAACAUUUCGAGAAGCAACGCAUAGGUAAAGCAGAGGGAGAGAUGGGGGCUGGGGGAGAGAGGAAUGUGUAAUAGUCUAAUAGAUGACAGUGCACAUGGGGAAGGGGGCCCAAAGAGGUGAGAAUCAAAAGGCUGUCAUAGCAGGAUUCAUAUACCCGUUCCUCUUUUUUAUAAUAAUUUCUUCUUCCUGAGAUUUUUCGUGGUUUUCAUUGCUUCUCACUUUUCGAGCGUUUCUUUGCAUUCCAUCCCCAAACAAAAACUUUCUUUGCUUUCCCGAUCUCUCCAUAGAAUCUCUCUCUUAUGUCUCUCCACUGUAUCUUUGUCCUCUUCAAGCAUCUUCUUGCUAUUAGGAGUUAUGAUUUGUGGAGUUUGAUCUGAUCUUCCAAGCGGUAAUACACAGCCCAGCCCUGCUUUGGUGUAUUGUUUUUACUUGCCCUUCUGUCUUUCAGAGAAACAACGUCUAGAGAAAAAAACAAAAAAGCUAGUAAUGGAUUUUUUUUUUCUUAGAACCAAGCUUUUAGUUUCUUGUUCUUGAAGUUAAUUGGUGUGCUAAUGUUGUUAUAUUGUUAAUUGCCUGCUGUUGCUUGUUUUGGUAAAAAUUCUAGUAACAAAAUUCUUCAUGCAAUUUCGUGAAAUUAAAAAUUUGAUGUGAUUAACCACCAGUUGAAAGCAAAGAAUUCAUUAGCAGUAAUCUUUCUUGAAUUUUUGUUUAAAUAUGUUUAACCCAUCCAUUCUCCUUGAUGGAGAGUGUUUGAUGUAAUAAUGAAUGACUUUGUUUCUAAGGAUACAGUAUUGCAUUAUAUCAAAAAAGGAUAUGGUAUUGUAAUCUUUUCCAUUUGUAUUACCUUCCGAAC
rnacentral:misc_RNA from 1 species